rnacentral:rRNA from 1 species
GCCCUUAGAGUUUGAUCCUGGCUCAGGAUGAACGCUAGCGGCAGGCCUAACACAUGCAAGUCGAGGGGUAACAGGGCAAAAGCUUGCUUUUCCGCUGACGACCGGCGCACGGGUGCGUAACGCGUAUGCAACCUACCUUUACAGGAGUAUAGCCCAGAGAAAUUUGGAUUAAUCCUCCAUAAUAUCUUAUUCAUGCAUAUGAAAAAGAUUAAAGCUUUUGUGGUAAAAGAUGGGCAUGCGUUUUAUUAGCUAGUAGGUGAGGUAACGGCUCACCUAGGCCACGAUAAAUAGGGGCCCUGAGAGGGGGAUCCCCCACACUGGUACUGAGACACGGACCAGACUCCUACGGGAGGCAGCAGUGAGGAAUAUUGGACAAUGGACGAAAGUCUGAUCCAGCCAUGCCGCGUGCAGGAUGACGGCCCUAUGGGUUGUAAACUGCUUUUAUACAGGAAGAAACACUCCCACGUGUGGGGGCUUGACGGUACUGUACGAAUAAGGAUCGGCUAACUCCGUGCCAGCAGCCGCGGUAAUACGGAGGAUCCAAGCGUUAUCCGGAAUUAUUGGGUUUAAAGGGUCCGCAGGCGGUCUAUUAAGUCA